CCAAGGUCAGCUGGCUCCCAAGCAAGAGGGCAUGGAAGGGCUGGCGCAGAGCAGCCUGCUCUCUGCACCUCCAGGAAGUGGAAGGCAAGGGGAGGAGGAGCACGAGGGAUGUGCUGUGUGUGCUUCCGGUCACGUCCCCAUUGGCCCACUCCUCCAACCAGGCCAGGUCCCAGCCGAGGGCCCGCUCACCUCACCUCCCAAGGCCCCGCCUAGGAGUGCACAGGGAGGUCAUCUAGAUAAAAACCAGAACACGCGUGUUUACAGUAUUAAAAGGGAGGGGGUGGCCUAUCGUCCAGGAGCUCAGCCUACUGUGUUACAUCUGAAAGACCCUAAUACAGUAAAAGUACUCUGAGAAUCACAAAGAGGUCUGCCCUUUCUUUUUAACUUCUGUCCUGAGCUUAACCUAAAAUCCCAAAGAGGAGGAGGCUGCGUGGCUUGCAUUUGGAUCCCCAAAGUCUCAUGCGUUCACAGCGGGGCUGUUCGAGCCACGAUGCUUAUUUUGUCAUCUUGAAAACCACCAGUAAUAGAGGAGAUUCAAGCAGACGCUGAUUCUCAAUGUCCACCUUUGUCACAGAUGGGAUGCAUGAAUGUCUGUUCUGCAUUUAUGCUCUUACUAUCGGUCACAAUCUGUGUGUGUGAAGUCUUUUGCAGAAACAUCACGGCAACGCAGAAGUUCAAAGAAAAGCUCCAUCAAACUUGAUGGACUGAUGAGACUCUUACUUCUCAGCAAGCUUAAAGCGUUGUAAAAUGUCUUUCGAAGAUCUGGCUCUAAGACAGUGUAACUGUAGGAGAGAAGAUCCUUCAGCUCAUGAGGAAAGUUACUUAGAUGUCCAGGUAGCAGUGACCAAUCUGGGCCAUAAACACCACCAGCUCUGCCAGUCCUCUGCUGGGUUUACUUGGUUGUAACUUGAAAACCUCCACACUGGAUCAGAUGCGUAACUGCAGUGGGUUGCUGGGCAGCUUGUUGUUGUUCCUGCUGGACACAUUGGCCAAAGACCGGCUGUUCGAGGAGCGCUUCCAGAAAGGCUUGCACGCACUGCGGCUGGACUCCAGCUCCUGAGCCUAGCUUGAAACGGCACGUGGGUGCAGCCAGCAGGAAGGGCCGCAUUGACUUCUAAACUGUGUUCGCUUAUUGGCCUCUGUUCAAAACUAGACUGGUGAAAUCUAAAUCUUACAGCCUAUAGAGAUCAACGGUCCUCUUACAAAUGAAAUGCCACAUUGAUCUCUUGAAAGCCUGCCAAAUGUUUACUUACAUGGAAUAGAUAUUAUGGCUUAAUCUUUACUGCAUUUUUUUCCUGAUGAUGUCUGUGGUCUCUGAAGGGUUUUUUGAAACAAGGUCUUGCUGUCUAGUCCAGCAUGGCCUCAAACUCCUUAUGUAGCCCAGGCUGACUCCAACAUGUGGUCCUCCUCCCUCAGCCUCCCAAGAGCCAGGAUUACAAGUGUGCACCACCAUACUCAAGGGCUCUAAUUGUGAAACUAUUUUUAUUGAAAUGAAUAAUGAUUUUCUUGUUUCCAAAGAAACUUUUCCCGAAAGGAAAAGUAGUUAAAUGAUAUUUUAAAUUAGAAGAUGAAAACAAAGAUUGCCGGGAGCAUGUAUUUUCCCUAAUAAGACAUAAAGGCAUAUUCGCAUAGUAGUUAAGGGCAUGAAUUAUGGUGCCAUGCUGCAUAGCUUUAAAUCCCAGAUUUGCUGCUUAUAAACUGUAUGAUCUUAGACAUGUCAUGUAAUUUCUCUAAACUUUAGCUUUUCUUAUCUGUAAAAGGGGACAAAUGGUUCCUGCCUCACAGGGUCAUCAUGAAGCUGGGUGUGGUGCGCACGCACCAGGCAGCGGCACCACUGAACUAAAUCCCCAGAUCACCCUAGUUCUAAUAUUGGCUCUUCUGCCUCUACUUUAGACUAGAUUAUUCCAUGGACAGACAGUUUGAGUUGCCCAAAGAAUCCCUAUUAUUGAGCUAAAGUCUAGCUUAAGAUGAAGGAUUGUUUAACUCUGAAGGACAUUAAGAAUUUUUAAUGUCCUAUAUAAAUCCUUACACUAGGAAAUCAAAGAUAGAUGCUACACCUUGCUUUUAUUCCUACUUGUGGGAUAGCAGAUAAUUUAUUUGUUUUAACAAGCACUUCUGGUGGUGUGUGCCUGUAAUCCCAGCCACUUGAGAGGCUGAGGCAGGAGGAUUACUUGAGCCUAGGGGCUCAGAAGCAGCUGGGCAACACAGUGAGACACCCUGUUUUUUUAAAAAACAAAACAUUUCUAAGGAAAGAUGCUUGUUUGCUGUGUGCAACAACCAGCAGUUGACUAGAACCUGUUACUAAUUUAUUCCCAAACUCCAGCCGAUUUUGGUUAUGCUCCACUGGGCAUUCGUAACCCUGAAGAGCUAGAAUGAAUUGUCCAGGACACUGAGCAGGGGCCACCUGCCUCAUCAGGGAGAGAGCAGCCAACUGGCACCUAGGGCCUGAAUCAGUGGGGAAGGAAACCACAGAGCCCUUCAGGAUCAAUCUUCAUUUUUCUUUGUCGUCCGAGCUACAAAGAGGCACUGAGGCAUUGCAGAAGCAUAAAUCUUUAAAAAUCUGCAGUGUUAGUCACUCUGCCUUAUUAUAACCCCACUGUGCCUGUGCUUUGUAGGAAAGACUAAAAUCUAGCUGGCCCAGCCCCCACCUAGUAAGCUUGUGAACUCUCAUCAUAAAACAUAGGGCAAUCAAAUCCUCUUGUAGGAGAUGAAUGGAGGACGAGAGGAGCCCAUUCGCCUGCGUAGUAAUCAUUCUCUCCAACCUCCAAGGGAUGCAGCAGGGUGGGAAUGUAAGGAAGACAGCCCUUUGUUUGGCUGGGUGCAGCCGCACUCACCCUGUCUGCAAAGGGCCUCUUCAUGGGAGAUCUUUCAAAAUUACAAAAUGCAGGGCUGGGGAUUUAGCUCAGAGGUUUCGCCGCCUGCUGUGCAAGUGCAAGGUCCCAAGUUCGAUCCCUGGUACCAAAAAAAAAAAAAAAUUACAAAAUCCACAAUGACAUUAGUCUAGCUUCUGCUUUAAAGUGAAAAAUGUCACAAAGCUAAUAUUAUAUGGUUCUAUAAAGAAAAACAUACAUGAGCUCUGUUUCAAGGGCCUGUAAAGUCCCCUCUCCAUUAUUUCCAUUUUGUUUUAUUUAUUUGUUUAUUUAUUUUUUGGUACUGGGAUCGAUCUUGGGACCUUGCGCUUGCGAGGCAGGUGGCAGAACCACUGAGCUAAAUCCCCGCCCCUGUUAUUUCUAUUUUAAAUUACUAUGUAUACUCCAUUUGAUUUUAAGGGAAAAAUAUGCUCUUACAAGCUAGAUGUUUUUCAGGAAUUUGGAGAUGUCUGAUGAGAUGGUAAUAAAAUAACAGCUGAAAGCAAUGAGAAACGCUCAUACAUAGCAAUUUUCCCAGCUGUUUUUGCUCUUUUCUCUUUUAUACCCAGGCGAUUUCUGGCUUUUUCUUCAGCACUGAUUCGAAAUCAAUACUCCAGGAGAUCUGGCUUCUGUUGUCCUAAAGGAAAUCCCUUCUCGCCAGGGUGAACCUAGCGUAGCUGGCGCACCAUGGUCUCUGCUGCAGCAGAAGGUGCCAGAGCCUUCUGGGACAUUUUUCUGAUAAUUCCAUAAAUCCCUGACCCGAUGGGUUUUAAAAAUUGAGGUGAUAUUUACAUAAUAUAUCAGUCAUUUUUAAGUGAAUGAUUCAGGACAUUUGGUAUAUUUACAGUGUUGUACAGCGCCUCCAUCUCAUUCCAAAACAUGGCCUUCACUCCAAAAUAAAACCCCACACCCACUGAAUAGUCAGUCACUCCCCACCCCUGGCAGCCCCCAGUCUGCGUUCUGUCCCAGUGGACUUUGGAA
rnacentral:lncRNA from 1 species